AGUCAUAUGCUUGUCUCAAAGAUUAAGCCAUGCAUGUCUCAGUACAAGCCAAAUUAAGGUGAAACCGCGAAAGGCUCAUUAAAUCAGUUAUGGUUCCUUAGAUCGUACCCACACUUACUUGGAUAACUGUGGUAAUUCUAGAGCUAAUACAUGCAAACAGAGCUCCGACCGGAGACGGAAGGAGCGCUUUUAUUAGAUCAAAACCAAUCGGCGGCGGGCUUGCCCGUCGUCGUUCAACCUGGUGAAUCUGAAUAACUUUGUGCUGAUCGCACGGUCUAGCACCGGCGACGCAUCUUUCAAAUGUCUGCCUUAUCAACUGUCGAUGGUAGGUUCUGCGCCUACCAUGGUUGUAACGGGUAACGGGGAAUCAGGGUUCGAUUCCGGAGAGGGAGCCUGAGAAACGGCUACCACAUCCAAGGAAGGCAGCAGGCGCGCAAAUUACCCACUCCCGGCACGGGGAGGUAGUGACGAAAAAUAACGAUACGGGACUCAUCCGAGGCCCCGUAAUCGGAAUGAGUACACUCUAAAUCCUUUAACGAGGAUCAAUUGGAGGGCAAGUCUGGUGCCAGCAGCCGCGGUAAUUCCAGCUCCAAUAGCGUAU
rnacentral:rRNA from 1 species